rnacentral:rRNA from 1 species
GUGCCAGCAGCCGCGGUAAUACGUAGGGUGCGAGCGUUGUCCGGAAUUACUGGGCGUAAAGAGCUCGUAGGUGGUUUGUCGCGUCGUUUGUGUAAGCCCGCAGCUUAACUGCGGGACUGCAGGCGAUACGGGCAUAACUUGAGUGCUGUAGGGGAGACUGGAAUUCCUGGUGUAGCGGUGGAAUGCGCAGAUAUCAGGAGGAACACCGAUGGCGAAGGCAGGUCUCUGGGCAGUAACUGACGCUGAGGAGCGAAAGCAUGGGUAGCGAACAGGAUUAGAUACCCUGGUAGUCCAUGCCGUAAACGGUGGGCGCUAGGUGUGAGUCCCUUCCACGGGGUUCGUGCCGUAGCUAACGCAUUAAGCGCCCCGCCUGGGGAGUACGGCCGCAAGGCUAAAACUCAAAGGAAUUGACGGGGGCCCGCACAAGCGGCGGAGCAUGUGGAUUAAUUCGAUGCAACGCGAAGAACCUUACCUGGGCUUGACAUACACCGGAUCGCUGCAGAGAUGUAGUUUCCCUUGUGGCUGGUGUACAGGUGGUGCAUGGUUGUCGUCAGCUCGUGUCAUGAGAUGUUGGGUUAAGUCCCGCAACGAGCGCAACCCUUGUCUUGUGUUGCCAGCACGUUAUGGUGGGGACUCGCGAGAGACUGCCGGGGUUAACUCGGAGGAAGGUGGGGAUGACGUCAAAUCAUCAUGCCCCUUAUGUCCAGGGCUUCACACAUGCUACAAUGGUCGGUACAACGCGCAGCGACACUGUGAGGUGGAGCGAAUCGCUGAAAGCCGGCCUUAGUUCGGAUUGGGGUCUGCAACUCGACCCCAUGAAGUCGGAGUCGCUAGUAAUCGCAGAUCAGCAAUGCUGCGGUGAAUACGUUCCCGGGCCUUGUACACACCGCCCGUCACGUCAUGAAAGUUGGUAACACCCGAAGCCAGUGGCUCAAACUCGUUUAGGGAGCUGUCUAAGGUGGGAUCGGCGAUUGGGACGAAGUCGUAACAAGGUA